AUCUCUGCCCUUGCACCAGGGAUCUCAGCAUCCCAGGGUUACUCCAAGGCCUUGCACCAAGGAUCUCAGCAUCCCAGGGUUACUCCAAGGCCUUGCACCAAGGAUCUCAGCAUCCCAGGGUUACUCCAAGGCCUUGCACCAAGGAUCUCAGCAUCCCAGCGUUACUCCAAGGCCUUGCACCAAGGAUCUCAGCAUCCCAAGGUUACUCCAAGGCCUUGCACCAAGGAUCUCAGCAUCCCAGGGUUACUCCAAGGCCUUGCACCAGGGAUCUCAGCAUCCCAGGGUUACUCCAAGGCCUUGCACCAAGGAUCUCAGCAUCCCAGGGUUACUCCAAGGCCUUGCACCAGGGAUCUCAGCAUCCCAGGGUUACUCCAAGGCCUUGCACCAAGGAUCUCAGCAUCCCAGGGUUACUCCAAGGCCUUGCACCAAGGAUCUCAGCAUCCCAGGGUUACUCCAAGGCCUUGCACCAGGGAUCUCAGCAUCCCAGGGUUACUCCAAGGCCUUGCACCAAGGAUCUCAG